UACGUAGGAUGCGAGCGUUGUCCGGAUUUACUGGGCGUAAAGAGCUUGUAGGCGGGAAUGCACGUCUGUGAUGAAAUUGCGCGGCUUAACCGCGUAGCUAUUGCAGAUACGGUAUUUCUUGAGGGCAGAAGAGGAGAACGGAAUUCCCAGUGUAGCGGUGAAAUGCGUAGAUAUUGGGAAGAACACCAGCGGCGAAGGCGGUUCUCUGGUCUGUCUCUGACGCUAAAGAGCGAAGGCGUGGGUAG
rnacentral:rRNA from 1 species